ensembl:lncRNA uncharacterized LOC114860419
CUAAAAGACUGACGACCAGUCUCCAAGUCUCAGACCUGAAACAAAUGAGGAAAAUGAUUAGUACAUUUUAUAUGAAUAAAAAAAAGAGAAUAAUCUGUGAUGUUGGCCAAAGGGAACAAAAACCCAUGAAAUAUCAUUCUCUCUUCUUUCUCAGUCAGACUGUAUGUUGACAUUCUGUUGUCAAGUCACCAGAUACUUUUCAGCAGCUCUCAGGUCAGUAGAUUUGCUGGCCAGAGACUGGAGGCAGCCAUCCACAGACCGCUAAGGGGCUUGAAUCUGUUUAUAUAUGUAUAUAUGCAGUAUAUUAUGUACGUACGUCUGGAUAAUUCUUGGAUGGCACCUUGAGCGAAGCCAAGCUCAAGGUGUUAGGAUGAAGUUUAACACUAGAAAGGUCAUGGAGGUCAUGCUCUUGUUUGUUUUGUGUGAUAAUUUAGCGCGUGGAACAGAUGGCGGCGUUUCCAUCUCCAUGGACUUUUGUUACUUGUCGUUAGUGUCUCAGAGCUGUCUGAGGUGUCCUGUACCACCGCCUGCUUUUGUUUUUAUUUGUCUGACUUGGUACUUCAUGUUAUAUUUUUUAUGACAGUAGAGCCACAGUAGAGCAAGUGAUAAUGCUAUUAACAGCACCGCCCUCGCUCCUAUCCAGCAUUUACAGGAUGGAUGUGAUGUGGGACGGCCAUAUGCGUGUUGAUGCGUGAAAUGAGAAUACAAUGGGUUUUAAAAGAUGUAAUAAAUGACAUUUACACCCACUGGUGUUCAUAAUAUUACAGUGUGUCAUUUCGAAGGUGUGUGGUUAAACACUUGUUUAUGAGCAACUGGGACUAGAGUGAAGCUGAACAGGGAAGUGAGUCAGGGAUGGGGUUACGAGCGCUACUGCUUUCGCCAAGCGUGAGGAGGAAGUGGCAGCACAUACACAGGUAGAUACAGUUAAAAGCAAACGCAGCGCAGUGAAGGCGACCGAGGACGAACAUGUCAGAUGGAGCAAAGCUGCUGUUUGAAGGCUUCUUAGAGAAAAGAAAGGACACUCUGAAGAUGAGGUGGACGACCUACUGGUUCAGGCUUCAGAAUUCAACUCUGUUCUUCUACACACAGAAGAACGGCAGCGCUUCACACUUAAGAGGCUAUUACUACAUCUAUUCAGUGCAGUCCGUGCGAGAGGUCCAAAAGGCCAGCGGCAGUCGCUACAUGUUUGAGAUGAUUCUGAAAAAUGGAAAGCAAAAACUGUUGGCGGCGGAGACGGCGGCGCUCAGACAGGAGUGGGUGGGACACCUGUGGCAGGCCAUGCUGCUCUCCACCUCCGUGGUCCCACGGUGGGUCUCGCGCCACAUCCACACUUCCACCCCUCACACGCAUGCGGAUGACUCUCCCGCGCGUCUGCGCCCACAGCCCCGACGCGUGCGAGCCGCGCGACAGGAACAGCAGCGUGCCCGCGCGCGCGCUCGGCGACAGCGCGAUGGAGACGCUCCCCGCGCGGCCCCUGUCGGCCCCCGCGCCGCUGGACCGCAUCCGCGAGGAGAGCUGGGCGUCCGCGUACGCGGAGCUGAGCGCCGGCGAGGAGCCCACGCGCCGAAACACGCCGCUCCACCAGGCAAACAGCGACCGCGUCCACGCGCUGCCGUGGUUCGGGGAGCUGAGCAGCACCGAGUGCAGCCAGGACGGAGACUACGACGUGUUGCCACGUAGAAAGCACACGGACGAGGCAGACGCUACGGAAGCAGACGAGGUCGUGUACGACUACCCUCUGUCCUACAGGAUGAACAUCAGGCAUCAAGAGGAAACGGAGAGCAUCUACGACGUCCCGAGGUCUCUUCUGCGGCUGCACGUCCCCGCAGGCAGCGCCGCAGCGGAGGAGGAUGAGCCUCAAGAGGGAAUCUACUGGAGGGUCUGA